CGCGUUUGUAGCUCGGCGAUGGUUUAUUCAUCAGCGGUAAAUGCGAGCUUAGCGACCCUUCGAGAAGCCAUAUUAAUUAGUGAACACAGUGUUCCUGAAUUGACUUUCGCUUCGAGACCAUCAUAUAGCUGCUGACAAUGGAGAAAAAAUGGAUCACGUCAAGCCUCAUCGAUUCCAAUUUGCAAUAGUGUUUGGGCUAACCUUAAGGUGGUCGUCCCUUGUGCUGACGCAGCGCGAUACGUUAGAGUACGUGUCUUAUCUAUGUAUAAUGGUGUUGUUUAGUGUUAGUUACGAAGAUGUUCUUAGUAUAUAAACAAUCACGCGUCCUUCAAAGCAAAAAAGAAAUUCGGUGCUAUUAUUCAACCAACUUGAAUAACUUUCUUUUUUCAUUACGAAUAAAGGUCUGCAGGCCCUAUUAGUCGACGUUAUACGUCUACAUAUCGUGUUCAACCAAAUAAUUUGAAUCAUACUGAACGUUGUUUUUGGAUUGGAAAGGUUGUAAUAGAUCUGCAGGUAAUGAUGUCCUUUAGACGAGUACUAUUUCCGUAGCAUGACAAAAAACAUAGAGGCAUACAACGUUAGGGUUCUUCGUAUACGAAAUAGUUUAUGCAUAGACUGAUAUGGUGGUUAGUCAGCUUGUUUUGAAGAUCUAUAUUUUAUAAUAACUAAUUCUAAUAACGUUUAUAAAGCUUUGAACGUGAAGAACGAUAUUGCUUUAGCAGGUUCACCUCUAUUACCUUCAGAAAAAAACACAUCUCGUUCUUUCCAAUUUCAUAUAUUAAAACCGAUUGUAUGCAGUGAUUGUAGCGUAGCAAAG